rnacentral:misc_RNA from 1 species
GAUGAAGAACGCAGCGAAAUGCGAAAAGUAAUGUGAAUUGCAGAAUUCAGUGAAUCAUCGAAUCUUUGAACGCACAUUGCGCCCGCCAGUAUUCUGGCGGGCAUGCCUGUCCGAGCGUCAUUUCAACCCUCAUGCCCCUAGGGCGUGGUGUUGGGGAUCGGCCAGCGCCCGCGAGGGACGGCCGGCCCCUAAAUCUAGUGGCGGACCCGUCGUGGCCUCCCCUGCGAAGUAGUGAUAUUCCGCAUAGGAGAGCGACGAGCCCCUGCCGUUAAACCCCCAACUUUCUAAGGUUGACCUCAGAUCAGGUAGGAAUACCCGCUGAACUUAAGCAUAUCAAUAAGCGGAGGA